AAGUCGUAACAAGGUUUCCGUAGGUGAACCUGCGGAAGGAUCAUUAAUGGAUGAAAUUGAGUGGGGUUGUAGCUGGCCUUUUACCGGGCAUGUGCACACCUCAUUCAACCACCUUCUAUACCUCUGUGCACUUCUCAUGAGUUGGGCCGUGUCUGAAAUACGACAAAGUCCGGCUCAUGUGCUUUAUACAAACAAAUUAUGUUAUAGAAUGUCACUACCAUGCUUUAAAAGCAUAUAAUACAA
rnacentral:misc_RNA from 1 species